rnacentral:ncRNA from 3 species
CCUAAUGUGGGAGCUGGCUUGCCUGCGAUAGCGGCAGUGAGUUCACUCCAGUCAUCGCAGGCAAGCCAGCUCCCACAUCAAA